rnacentral:rRNA from 1 species
UACGAAGGGGGCUAGCGUUGCUCGGAAUCACUGGGCGUAAAGGGUGCGUAGGCGGCGCGGUAAGUCAGGUGUGAAAUCUCGGGGCUUAACUCCGAAACUGCAUUCGAUACUGCCGUGCUUGAGGACUGGAGAGGAGACUGGAAUUUACGGUGUAGCGGUGAAAUGCGUAGAUAUCGUCCAGAACACCGAUAGCGAAGGCAGCUUACUAAGGAGUAACUGACGCUGAGGCACGAAAGUGUGGGGAUCAAACAGG